GUCUUACCCUUCUUUAAGGGCUCGCUGCAGACCUGAGCAAGUGUUCUUCCUGGGGUUGGCUGUAGAGCUGUGCGACCGGCCCUGAAGGCAGAACGUGCUCCAACUGGUAAAUGAAAGCCGACUUGAUGGUAGGCAGAGGCAGGCGAUUUUUGGGGAAGCACUUCCUCAUGAUGAGACUUGAAGCGUUGACAAGAGGAUCCAAGGUGCGCACCAAGAGACACUCCUGGAAAAAGACCGCAGUGGAAAUAAGAUGACAUCACAACAAACCUUGCAGUUUAACUUCAUUUGCCUUCAAAAAACGGAAUUAUGUUCACCUGCGAAGAGUUGUAGAGAAUGCGCAUGCCGUCGGCUUUGGUGAACGCCUCCCUGCCCAGCUUGAUGUUGGUGACGUUCCGCAGACAGCCCAGCAGCCCCUUGCGGAUCACCGUGUGACGAUGCCACGUGUCCUUGCGGUGCCAGUCCAGGAAAUGCAAGAGUGGACAAAUGAUGAAUGGCUAGAAGAUAAACACCAACAACUACUCACCCAAGGUCAGCAGCUCACUGAGUAUGCACAGGAUGUUCAAAAUGGUCUGGGUGUCUCGGGUGAUCUGUCAGAUUAUUAGAAAUUCAAUGAUUAGUUGGAUUAGUAGGUAGGUAGACUGACAGAGUGGCAGGCAGACUCCAUCAAGUGGUGCCUACUGACCUCCAGUGAAUUCAGGAUGACAUCCAUGCCGCUGGUGCCUUUGGACAUCAUCUCCUUCGACGUCUUCUCUGCAUGACAAACAGGAGACUGAUGGUCAUACAUUUACUGCAACUCAAAGGUGUGUGUUUCUUCCGAGUCACCACAACGUGCCAGUGCGUCUGGAUGGCUCCCUCUAUUCGCACGAUACACAUUAUUUGGACAAAAGUAGUAAGACAUUUGGUCAUUUGUUCAUUCAGAACAUUUGAGGAGCUCUUAUAGAGCUAUGGCCAAGCUCAAUUUAAAUAAGCCAUAUCUACUGUGUGUAUGACAACCUUUAAUGAAAAUAUGAAAACUCUCAAACUGUCACACUCAUGAAAACUUAAUGGUACAGUUUUAAAUCUAUCAUCCAAGUGCUAAAAUUAGAUAACCACCCUGACAAGAUUUAGUAGUAAUUUGAAUAACAAAGGUGGAUUUUUUUGGGGGGGGAUUCCUAAUUUCACAACCACCUCAUCUGGCAAACCUAAUAACAGUAAUAAUGUAAGCGAUAACUAAUUUGGAAAUUAAAUGCAAACAAAUAACACGUGGUAGUUUAAAUAUAUUUGAUAGCUGGCGGCCAGCCCAUUGUGUACUAUUAUUAGCAUGUGUGAUGUAUUACAAGUUGUAAAUGCUUCCAUACCAAACUUCUAGUGGCAUAUGAUGUUUAACCUUUUCAGGGCAUUCAACUUACUUCCUAUUGCCUCUGAUGUAGGCGGGAACACGCUUAAACUGGGUUGGGAAUGCGUGCAAGGCCAGAUUUAAAUGAGGUUUAUUAUUGUGAUUUGGUUUGCAGCGGUUUAACAGCUUUUUCUAGUAUUUUUCCACUGCAAUCAAUAUAAUGCAACUACUACAGUCAAAAGUGGAGAUGAUAUUCAAAAGGUGUAAACAUACUAGGUCUGUAUAUUAGGUCACAUAUUUUUCUUGUCACCUAUACCUGAGUACAAUGAAACAUUUGUGAGUGUCACUCGUGUUCCCAAAAAGUAAAUCAUCUAAAGAAUUAAAUCAAGCUUUACCUGGAGAGUCAGGGCGAUUGUCGCAGUGCUUCCUGCUGUUGCCAUGCUCCAUUUAUAGUUUCUCAAACACUUUAUUUUUUGCUAAUUGUAUUCCCAAAGCUGCGUGUCCUUGACACUGUGCACAGAACAAGCCUGCGCAAAAUACACUAUGUGUUGCUGUAGAAUGAAAUGAAAGCAUAACCUCACACAUUUUCCCCAAUUAAUACUGAGGAGCAAGAGGCGGGGGAAUGAUUUGAGUGAUGUGUCUCUCAAGACACGUGAGACGGUCCACUAAAAAAAAAAAAAAAUGUCAAUGCCUCAGCCAAUGCCCCAGCCACCCUUGUUCUUGCCCUCUGAGCCUCACACGCUAUAAAUGUGAAACCUGAGGACACCAAAGUCCAGCCCAAGGUUUACAAUUACCGCCAGACUGAUCGGUAGCUGCGUCUCACACACCCUGGGGGUCUUGUGCUGUGUGUGUGGCAGAUGAGAGGAACAGCUGACAGACAGGAGGGGGAUGGAUGAGGGUGACAGACGCAGUAAGACAUUCCGCUGCACCCAUUCGUCAUGCAAGGGAGGUAUGACGAUGUUCAAGGCUUCAAGAAAAGUGAGAGGCGUUGUGGUGGCCAGCAGGGCUCGAAAUGCCACCUUUGAACACAUCUGAGAACUUAGCAAGCAUCCCUUGGCAAAAACAUAAAACUUUUUCCGUUUGUACAGAUACAAACAACUUUUUGUUUCCUUUCUUGCAUGUUUUUUUUGUUCAAGUAGCUGAAACUAAUGUUUAUGACUGAUUAAUACUUAGAUGCUAUAAAACAAAUGAAUUGAUCAUUUAAAAAUGUAAUAAUUGAAUCACUAAAAGGGUUAUUUGUCUGUAUUUUAACUGUCAUGCCGUAUGUAAGUAGAGAUCCACAACAGUUGACAGGAAAUCCUGCUCCUGCUGUAUUUAGAGCCAUGUAUUGUACUGCAUAGUAGGCGCCACUAGAGGUCAGUAAAUUGCAGUGGUAGUGCAGAAAGUGGUACGUUCGCUAUUUUUAAGCAUGAGUGCACAAUUUGCGGACUAUUUUAGAAUGUAUCCACCACUUAAAAAAUAGAUUUAUUUAAAGAGACAGUAUUUUGAUAUUCUCUGCUCUGUACAAUUAUUCAUGAUUCACUAUAUUGAUGCUCCAGAAAAUUGCCUCCUGGAGGUUUACAGACAUGAUGAUAAGGUUUCGAGAUGUAUUAUUUGUUAGUGCUCACCCUGUGU